GAUUCUGGCUCAGAACGAACGCUGGCGGCAGGCCUAACACAUGCAAGUCGAGCGCGCCCUUCGGGGUGAGCGGCGGACGGGUUAGUAACGCGUGGGAACGUACCCUUUGGUAGGGAAUAGCCACUGGAAACGGUGAGUAAUACCCUAUGAGCCCUUCGGGGGAAAGAUUUAUCGCCAAAGGAUCGGCCCGCGUUAGAUUAGGUAGUUGGUGGGGUAAUGGCCUACCAAGCCUACGAUCUAUAGCUGGUUUUAGAGGAUGAUCAGCAACACUGGGACUGAGACACGGCCCAGACUCCUACGGGAGGCAGCAGUGGGGAAUCUUGGACAAUGGGGGCAACCCUGAAUCCAGCCAUGCCGCGUGAGUGAAGAAGGCCUUAGGGUCGUAAAGCUCUUUCGCCUGUGAAGAUAAUGACGGUAGCAGGUAAAGAAACCCCGGCUAACUCCGUGCCAGCCGCUGC
rnacentral:rRNA from 1 species